GACGAACGCUGGCGGCGUGCCUAAUACAUGCAAGUUGAGCGAUGAAGAUUGGUGCUUGCACCAAUUUGAAGAGCAGCGAACGGGUGAGUAACGCGUGGGGAAUCUGCCUUUGAGCGGGGGACAACAUUUGGAAACGAAUGCUAAUACCGCAUAACAACUUUAAACAUAAGUUUUAAGUUUGAAAGAUGCAAUUGCAUCACUCAAAGAUGAUCCCGCGUUGUAUUAGCUAGUUGGUGAGGUAAAGGCUCACCAAGGUGAUGAUACAUAGCCGACCUGAGAGGGUGAUCGGCCACAUUGGGACUGAGACACGGCCCAAACUCCUACGGGAGGCAGCAGUAGGGAAUCUUCGGCAAUGGACGAAAGUCUGACCGAGCAACGCCGCGUGAGUGAAGAAGGGUUUCGGAUCGUAAAACUCUGUUGGUAGAGAAGAACGUUGGUGAGAGUGGAAAGCUCAUCAAGUGACGGUAACUACCCAGAAAGGGACGGCUAACUACGUG
rnacentral:rRNA from 1 species